UUAAGAGGAUAACUUUCCCAGGGUUACCUUCCUUAUCAGGUCAAACAUGUCUGUUCUAGAAAUGACCUAUGAGGAGGGAGAGCUGUGGUUUGCUUGCAUUUGACAGAUUCUUUUUAUUGCCACUUGGCAAAGAUGAGAACAGGCUUAUCCAGUUUCAUCGGAAAUGUUUUGCUUUCCAUUCAGCAGCAAAGAUAGUAAGAGAACCAGGGAGUUCAUAGGCAGUCCUUAAUCAGAGAAGUCUCCUUAAUGCUAGAGUCGCUGGCAGGUGCGCACCUUGUGAGGAUCCACAGAAGUUCCUGCUGGUAAGAAGAGUGGUCUCCUGUGGGCUGUGCAGAGUCCUUGAAGUGAGACAAGUAGAAAAAUGGUUGCAUGUUGAUCCUCCUGAUGAGAACUGAGAGGUCCUAUCAAGAUGUGUUGGGAGAAGACCAGUAACCCAUCUGUAGGCUGUGCUCAACUUUAUCCGCUGGUGCAAUGGAAAAACUCUUAAUUGAAGAGACCUACACAUUCUCUGAUGGUGGCAGACAGAGAAACCCUGGAAGAACCUGGCUUCUCAUCUGAGCUCUGCCGCACGGGAUUACGUGUGGUUCCCUACAUCUUCCCGCUUUCAUUGAUCAUGGGGACAAGAGAAAAGCAGAACCACACAGAAGCUAAAGUCCUUUAAGACUCAAGUUCCUACAAUUUCAUGGCAAGACCCACUGGCAGGCUUUUUCUCUGAUCCCAGAAAGUUUUCUCCUUGAUGUUCUCAGGCUUUGCGGAGGGCAGUUCCUGUGCUCUGGCACGUCUGAGAUGAAAGAUUAUUUCCUACGUCUGAAGUUCUCAGGAAACAGGAAAUGAGUACAGAACAAGGGGGAGGGACGUGAGUGCAAGGAGUAAUACUGGGAGAAAGUAGAGGUCCAAAGACCAGCCAGCUGUUAGACUGCAGAACCAGCCAGCGCCACCCGGGGAGCUAUUAUCAGCGCUUGGCUCCAUCCCAGUCAAUUGAAUUAGAAUUUUCCAGAGUAGGCCUGACACUAAGUAAAUAAGGACAAAAAUAAUUAAAUCGCCUAGGUAUUCCCGUUGCACAGCCAGUAUUGAGAUCCCCAGAACAAGAUGGCAGUGGGAGACAUUUGAGGAAAUGAAGGAACUAAAUCAAUUCAGAAAUAGCAUUAUGUAAAUAAGAUGCUUUCAAAAGCUAUAAAAAUUAGCAAUGUUAACUACUCCUGGCUUACAAAGAAACCAAAACCACUCCUUCACUGAAUCUACUGGAAAGCCAGGCUUUCAAAUCACUGGGCUGGAAAUCACUGUGCAGUACUUUAAUAUCUGAUCUUUAUCAGAUUUCAGACAUAGGUCAUUGGGAAAUCUGUUUUGAGAGUUAUUUCUUUAGUCUGUCUCAAUAAAUGGGAAAAGGCUGAACUCUGAUACAGCUGUUCUGGAGAAAUACUUCCCAUAAAGCUUUUACAUUUUAAUUAAGCUAUGGAUCCCUAUGAACAAUUUCAAACUUGUAAAAGUUUGCACACAUACUUGGAUAGUGAAAUGCCUGCUUACCUUUUCUUGUAUACAAUUCAUUUGCAUAUGCUUUAGUAAGGCUGGGAAUAUCUCUUCUCAAUGUUGAAAGAAUUAGAGGCCUUCGUUACAUUGUAAAUCAAUAGAGUGGGUAAGAAGUCUACAUCCCAGAUUAUCAAGUGAGACAAAGAAUUGGAAUACUCUUGGAGAAUCAAUUUUUUUUUCACCCUAUACAAAAUCGACUAUUUCAUGUCAUAGCUGUUAUUGCAACGGUCACAUGACUCUGUUUUCAUUUUUCAAAUCACUCUAAAGCUGACUUGCACUCUGCUGUUAAGAUGGGGAAUUUGGGAAGCUGGGGGCACAGAGAAAACCGGCCUGAUGCAUUGCUGCCCUGAGGAGCUAAAGGCCACAUUUUCAAAACUGAUGUUUGCACUUCCUGUGAUUGACCCAAGAAAGUCCAAACAGCAACAUAUUAUACUUUAUCUGUGUUCUGACAAAUAAAGCUUGCCUGGAGAUCGGAGGGCAGAGGUAGCCACUAGUCAGCCAUAGAAGCUGGGCCUUUAUCCCAGCACUUGGAAGCAGAAAGCAAGAAGAUCCGGAGUUCUAGGGCACCACAGGCUACAAAAGAUUGAAACAGUCUAAAAGGGGAUGGAGCCAGGCGGUGGUGGCUCAUGCCUUUGAUCCUAGCACUUGAGGGGCUCACCCCUUUAUUUCCAGCACAAUCAUAAGUAGAGAUAGGAUCCUUCCCAUUCAGUCUGAGAUUUUACAGAGAUAAGAAGCCUAGUGGCUGCUGCUCU